AUCCAGCUGACGAGUCCCAAAUAGAACACAACGCGCAUCCUAGAU
rnacentral:hammerhead_ribozyme from 1 species